rnacentral:rRNA from 1 species
GGAUAAGCCAUGCGAGUUGAAUGGGAAACCUAAAAAUCCCAUGGCAAACUGCUCAGUAACACAUGAUCAACUUACCCUAUAGAGGAAAAUAACCUCGGGAAACUGAGGAUAAUGUUCCAUAGUUGAAUCGGCUUGGAAAAGUUUUUCAAUUAAAGGGAUAAGGAAAAUGGUUCUUAUCUGCUAUAGGAUAGGAUCGUGCUCGAUUAUGGUUGUUGGUGAGGUAAAGGCUCACCAAGCCGAUAAUCGAUAGGGGCCGUGAGAGCGGGAGCCCCGAGAUGGGUACUGAGACAACGACCCAGGCCUUACGAGGCGCAGCAGGCGCGAAACCUCCGCAAUACACGAAAGUGUGACGGGGUUACCCAAAGUGUUCUAUUUAGAACUGUGGUAGGUGAGUAAUGUCCCCUACUAGAAAGGAGAGGGCAAGGCUGGUGCCAGCCGCCGCGGUAAAACCAGCUCUUCAAGUGGUCGGGAUAAUUAUUGGGCUUAAAGUGUCCGUAGCCGGUUUAGUAAGUUCCUGGUAAAAUCGGGUAGCUUAACUAUCUAUAUGCUAGGAAUACUGCUAUACUAGAGGGCGGGAGAGAUCUGAGGUACUACAGGGGUAGGGGUGAAAUCUUAUAAUCCUUGUAGGACCACCAGUGGCGAAGGCGUCAGACUGGAACGCGCCUGACGGUGAGGGACGAAAGCCAGGGGAGCGAACCGGAUUAGAUACCCGGGUAGUCCUGGCCGUAAACGAUGCAUACUAGGUGAUGGCACGGCCAUGAGCCGUGUCAGUGCCGUAGGGAAACCGUUAAGUGUGCCGCCUGGGAAGUACGGUCGCAAGGCUAAAACUUAAAGGAAUU